UACGAAGGGGGCUAGCGUUGUUCGGAUUUACUGGGCGUAAAGCGCACGUAGGCGGAUCGUUAAGUCGGGGGUGAAAUCCCGGAGCUCAACUCCGGAACUGCCUUUGAUACUGGCGAUCUUGAGAUCGGAAGAGGUGAGUGGAAUUCCCAGUGUAGAGGUGAAAUUCGUAGAUAUUGGGAAGAACACCAGUGGCGAAGGCGGCUCACUGGUCCGAUACUGACGCUGAGGUGCGAAAGCGUGGGGAGCAAACAGG
rnacentral:rRNA from 1 species